rnacentral:rRNA from 1 species
CCCUUAGAUGUUCUGGGCCGCACGCGCGCCACACUGAUGCAUUCAACGAGUGUACCUUGGCCGAGAGGCCUGGGCAAUCUUUUGAACGUGCAUCGUGAUAGGGAUAGAUUAUUGCAAUUAUUAAUCUUGAACGAGGAAUUCCUAGUAAACGCAGUUCAUCAAACUGCAUUGAUUACGUCCCUGCCCUUUGUACACACCGCCCGUCGCACCUACCGAUUGGAUGGUCCGGUGAAGCCUCGGGAUUGUGGCGGUUGCCUUUAUUGGUGGCCGCCGCGAGAACUUGUCUAAACCUUAUCAUCUAGAGGAAGGUGAAGUCGUAACA